rnacentral:lncRNA from 1 species
CAGUCUGGAAACUCAGACAAUAUUCCUGUGUUACAGAUCAAAGGAGGCUUUCUUUCUCAACUGAUUGUAUAGGACCUGAACUGUUAAAGCUAAUCUUUUCCUAAAGUCAGUUGUUGUUUUUGUAUUUAUAGCCCUGACUGUCCUGGAACUCACAUAGAUCCACCUGCCUCUGCCUCCCAAGUGGUGAGAUUAAAGGCGUGUGCCACCACAACCACCUGGCCAAAAAUCAAGUGCUCUUAACCACCAAGCCAUCUCUCCUGACCUUGUUUGUUUUUUAAGAUAGAGUCUUCCUUACAUUGGGCUGGCCUGGAAUUCCUUAUGUAGUCUAUCUUACUCCAACACAUGAUCUUGCCUUAGCCUCCUGAAUGCUGGGAUUACAGCCACAGCAACUUUAGACUAGUGUUUGACUUAAGCAACUAGGUAUACUACCAUGCCUGGACCUAAACUUCUCUUUACCUGGUACUUACUCUGUACCAGGCUGACCUUGUCUAUAUGUCUGUGCAUAGGUCUGUGCCUGAGAAUACAAUGUCUGUAGUUGCAUGUACCAUCAUACCUAGACCUAAGCCUUUCUUUCAUUCCUUUUCACAAGCUCUUUGUAAGUUUGGUAUUGCAGUUCAUUCCAAAUAUAGUCAAGUUGACAACUGAGAAUAGCUGUCACAAUCUAUCCCUUGUCAAUUUGACAACACAGUCAUAUCUCCUUAUGUACAAAUGAAAACAAUAACCAAGUCAUUUUAAUGACUGUAUUCAGUUGUCUUCUGAAUCCCACAUAGCUGGGUGCUUGACAGACACCUUAGACUUCCUGAAAUUUCCUAUCUUAGCCAGAGCUACUUUUUCACUCAAGUGACACAAGACAGGAACCUAUCCCCUCCCCUAUACUGUGUAAAACCACCUUUGCAAUCUCAGUCAAGAUAGCUCCAUCCUGAUUCUUUCCUGCCUGGAAUCUUGCUUAUUGAUCUCUAUCUGACCUCAGGUACACUGCUGCAAAGUGAUGUUUUAAAAUGCAAGUCUAGGGACUGGAAAGUUCACUGAAUUAAGAGCAUUGCUGCUCUUCCAGAGGAACCAAGUGCAGGCCUCAGUACCCACCUCAGGCAACUCAUAACUGUCUGUAACUGACACUCGAGAGGAACCAGAACCACCUCUGACAGCCACAGACCUGUGCAUAAACAUAAAGAGCAAUUAAAAAUAAGAGGUUUUUAAAAAAUGCAAAUCUAGCGCUGGUGCAGUAGUUUAGUGUUUGGUAAAGACCCUUGCUGCCAAGGCUGAUGGCCUGAGUUUAAUCUCCAGGGUGACACGAUAGCGGGAAAGAGCCGACUCCAGUGAGGCCUCUGUGCACUCGCGAUCAGAUGUGAUAAGUAAGAGCAGAUAUACAAAUGUGGUUGUGUUUAAUUCUUUUAGUAGCUUUCAGUUGCCCAUAGAAUUAAGAUCCAGUUCCCUAGAAGGUGCAUGAGGCCUUUCCUCCUGACUGUCUCCUGUUGCUUCAUGCCCAGUCUACUUUCAAACCCACACUGAGAUAGUUUCAGGGUCCCAGACUUAUGUGCCCUUUGCCUUGAUGGUAUGUGUUCUCAGAGCAUUGCUUUUCAGUGCUCUGUGAGGUGGUCUUGUAGCCACUUUUGCAGUGGCUAAAGUUUCAGAUCUCACCCAGGAUGUGGUGGUGGCGGCAGUGUAGCUGACAAACCUGGAGUGGGUCCUAGCCGCUUUUUAAACAAAGAGGAUGCUUCCACAACCAGGAUUCCUGGACUUGGGGACAUGGAGAGGAGAGUAGCAGUUCUGUUGUUCCCUGUUCUUCUAGCAGCUGCUGAUUAAACUCAGCCCCAGAUUCCCUUUGGUCUGUACUUCUGUGACAAUCCGAUAUCCACCUCAGCCUUUAUUUGUUUUAAUUUACUUAUAUCCACAGGCAAGUUAAGAAAGGGCAUUAAGUACCAUUGAUUCCCUCAAAGAAGAAAUAAAUUAUCAGCUCGUUCAAAGUGAUUCUUGUUUCCCGCCC